GCUGGAGCCUGAGUAGCUGCAGAGGGAGGUGAUGACACUGCAGAGGACUCUGCUGGGGAGGCUGGCAGCACAGUCUCUGAGAGCCUCUGCAUCAUGCCUGCCUGGAGGGCACGCAUCCUGCAGGCCUCAGUGACA
rnacentral:pre_miRNA from 1 species